CCUACGGGAGGCAGCAGUGGGGAAUAUUGCACAAUGGGGGAAACCCUGAUGCAGCGACGCCGCGUGAGUGAAGAAGUAUUUCGGAAUGUAAAGCUCUAUCAGCAGGGAAGAAAAUGACGGUACCUGAGUAAGAAGCCCCGGCUAACUACGUGCCAGCAGCCGCGGUAAUACGUAGGGGGCAAGCGUUAUCCGGAGUGACUGGGUGUAAAGGGAGCGUAGAGGGCUGCACAAGUCUGGAGUGAAAUGCCGGGGCUUAACCCCGGAACUGCUUUUGGAACUGUGCAGCUAGAGUGCAGGAGAGGUAAGUGGAAUUCCUAGUGUAGCGGUGAAAUGCGUAGAUAUUAGGAGGAACCCCAGUGGCGACGGCGGCUUACUGGACUGUAACUGACGUUGAGGCUCGAAAGCGUGGGGAGCAAACAGGAUUAGAUACCCUAGUAGUC
rnacentral:rRNA from 1 species